GACGAACGCUGGCGGCGUGCUUAACACAUGCAAGUCGAACGGUGAAGCUCCAGCUUGCUGGAGUGGAUCAGUGGCGAACGGGUGAGUAACACGUGAGCAACCUGCCCCUGACUCUGGAAUAAGCGCUGGAAACGGCGUCUAAUACUGGAUACGAGAAGGGUCCGCAUGGGCACUUUCUGGAAAGUUUUUCGGUUGGGGAUGGGCUCGCGGCCUAUCAGCUUGUUGGUGAGGUAAUGGCUCACCAAGGCGACGACGGGUAGCCGGCCUGAGAGGGCGACCGGCCAAAACGGGACUGAGAAACGGCCCAGACUCCUACGGGAGGCAGCAGUGGGGAAUAUUGCACAAUGGGCGAAAGCCUGAUGCAGCGACGCCGCGUGAGGGAUGACGGCCUUCGGGUUGUAAACCGCUUUCAGCAGGGAAGAAGCGAAAGUGACGGUACCUGCAGAAGAAGCACCGGCUAACUACGUG
rnacentral:rRNA from 1 species